AUUGAACGCUGGCGGCAUGCCUUACACAUGCAAGUCGAACGGUAACAGGUUAAGCUGACGAGUGGCGAACGGGUGAGUAAUGUAUCGGAACGUGCCCAGUCGUGGGGGAUAACUGCUCGAAAGAGCAGCUAAUACCGCAUACGACCUGAGGGUGAAAGCGGGGGAUCGCAAGACCUCGCGCGAUUGGAGCGGCCGAUAUCAGAUUAGGUAGUUGGGGAGGUAAAGGCUCACCAAGCCGACGAUCUGUAGCUGGUCUGAGAGGACGACCAGCCACACUGGGACUGAGACACGGCCCAGACUCCUACGGGAGGCAGCAGUGGGGAAUUUUGGACAAUGGGCGCAAGCCUGAUCCAGCCAUGCCGCGUGCGGGAAGAAGGCCUUCGGGUUGUAAACCGCUUUUGUCAGGGAAGAAAAGGUUCUGGCUAAUACCUGGGACUCAUGACGGUACCUGAAGAAUAAGCACCGGCUAACUACGUG
rnacentral:rRNA from 1 species